UGGUUGUCUGAAAGAGAGGGAAUGUGAGCGAUGAGCACUCAGGAAAAGGGUGCAGCAGGAGUUGCAGUUUAAGUAUCAGGAUGAAGAGAAGUUGUGUGUAUGGGUGGCUGUGCGGAAGACGGGGCUAGUGAGGGAUGUGCAUUCAGGGAAAAGGUGCAGGUGAAGUCUAAGGAUGUAGAGAUGUAGUAUGUGUCGACGAGGGGGCAGGUGAGGGAUGUGUACUAAGGCAAAGGUUGGAGGUGAAAUCUCAGGAUGAACAGAAGUUGAUUGUGUGUUGAAGAGGGUUCAGGUGAGGGAGGUGAACUCAGAAUGGGCUCAGCGGAAGCCUCAAGAUGAAGACAAGUUGAUUGUGUGGAUGAGGGGGCUGGUGAGGGAUGUGCACUAAGGGAAGGGGUGCAGGUCAAGUCUCAGGAUGAUGAGAAGAUGGGUGUCAGGGUGAGUGCAUGGAAGGGGGGCUGGUGAGGGAUGUUCACUCAGG
ensembl:lncRNA